GAGAAGGGGAUUGCAGUAGUCAAGGCAAGAAAGAACAACGGCAUGGACCGGCACCUUAGUCGCGUCUGGUAUUAAAUAGGGGCGGAUGUGAGCUAUGUUUUUGGAUGGAAGCGGCAGAAUUUGGCGAUCGACUGGACAUGAGGAUUGAAGGAAAGGUCGGAGUCAAAGAGAAGACCUAGGCAGUGAGCCUGAGAAGUAAAGGUGAUGGUGACUUGGGAGGGAGACAGACACGUGAGUAGCAACACCUGAGGGAGGAAAGAC